rnacentral:lncRNA from 1 species
ACACCCUCUAAUAACUAAGCUCACCUCCUUGAGAAGCUUCCUUGAGAAGAUUCCUAAAGAAGCUAGAGCUUAGCUACAUAUACCUCUCUAAUAGCUAAGCUCACCUCCUUGAAAUGAGAAGCUAGAGCUUAGCUACACACCCCCUAUAAUAGCUAAGCUCACCACCAUGACAAAAUACAUGAAAAUACAAAAAAUUCCCUACUACAAAGACUACUCAAAAUGCCUCGAAAUACAAGGCUAAAA